AACGAACGCUGGCGGCAUGCCUAACACAUGCAAGUCGAACGAGACCUUCGGGUCUAAUGGCGCACGGGUGCGUAACGCGUGGGAACCUGCCCUUAGGUUCGGAAUAACUCCCCGAAAGGGGUGCUAAUACCGGAUAAUGUCUUCGGACCAAAGAUUUAUCGCCUUUGGAUGGGCCCGCGUUGGAUUAGCUAGUUGGUAGGGUAAAAGCCUACCAAGGCGACGAUCCAUAGCUGGUCUGAGAGGAUGAUCAGCCACACUGGGACUGAGACACGGCCCAGACUCCUACGGGAGGCAGCAGUGGGGAAUAUUGGAAAAUGGGGGAAAGCCUGAUCCAGCAAUGCCGCGUGAGUGAUGAAGGCCUUAGGGUUGUAAAGCUCUUUUACCCGGGAUGAUAAUGACAGUACCGGGAGAAUAAGCGCCGGCUAACUACGUG
rnacentral:rRNA from 1 species